GAAGCGUGGCAUAUAAAUAUGAGUCAUCAUGCUUUGAAUAGGGAUGACGGCGCCUAUUUGCCAGAAGAAUAUAUGCAUCUUCUUGGCAGGUGACGUCAUCCCUUGGGUAUUUAAGAAGCCACGAUCGCAGUUUUAGAUCACCCCUGAUGAAGACACUAGACUGGAGUGUCGAAACGUUGGGUCUUGAUUACAAUUCGACUGGGCUUUGUAAUCAUUUAUUUAAACCGGAGUAGCGAGCGAAACAUGAUUGAUAUACCUGGUUGCAGUGAACGAACAAACUUUA